rnacentral:rRNA from 1 species
AAUGCCCUUCGGGGCUUUUUGGUGAUUCAUGAUAACUUUACGGAUCGCAUAGCCUUGCGCUGGCGACGGUUCAUUCAAAUUUCUGCCCUAUCAACUUUCGAUGGUAAGGUAUUGGCUUACCAUGGUUUCAACGGGUAACGGGGAAUUAGGGUUCGAUUCCGGAGAGGGAGCCUGAGAAACGGCUACCACAUCCAAGGAAGGCAGCAGGCGCGCAAAUUACCCAAUCCCGACACGGGGAGGUAGUGACAAUAAAUACUGAUACAGGGCUCUUUUGGGUCUUGUAAUUGGAAUGAGUACAAUUUAAACCUCUUAACGAGGAACAAUUGGAGGGCAAGUCUGGUGCCAGCAGCCGCGGUAAUUCCAGCUCCAAUAGCGUAUAUUAAAGUUGUUGCAGUUAAAAAGCUCGUAGUUGAAACUUGGGUCUGGCUGGCGGGUCCGCCUCACCGCGUGCACUCGUCCGGCCGGGCCUUCCUCUGAAGAACCUCAUGCCCUUUACUGGGCGUGUUGGGGAAUCAGGACUUUUACUUUGAAAAAAUUAGAGUGUUCAAAGCAGGCCUUUGCUCGAAUACGUUAGCAUGGAAUAAUAAAAUAGGGCGUGCGUUUCUAUUUUGUUGGUUUCUAGAGACGCCGCAAUGAUUAACAGGAACAGUCGGGGGCAUCAGUAUUCAGUUGUCAGAGGUGAAAUUCUUGGAUUUACUGAAGACUAACUACUGCGAAAGCAUUUGCCAAGGAUGUUUUCAUUAAUCAGUGAACGAAAGUUAGGGGAUCGAAGACGAUCAGAUACCGUCGUAGUCUUAACCGUAAACUAUGCCGACUAGGGAUCGGGCGAUGUUCUUUUUCUGACUCGCUCGGCACCUUACGAGAAAUCAAA